GGAUAUGAGGGGAAUGGCACUGUGGUAUCUGUUACCCCACUGACUGUCAGGGUUAAUUUGGCUGGCCAGGCAGGUGUCCCCGUCUUCCCUCACUGCUCCAUGUUUUUCUCUCUUAAAGUCGAGCACUCAGUCAAAGAGGACUGUUCUUGGGCCAAGGGUAUAUGAGGAGCUGUGCUCCCUGACAGAACAUCCAAACAAACUAGUCUGCAUUUCAAAAGCCUGAAUGACUGUCCUGAUUCUGAAAAGUCAAGCCCAUCCCUCUAUGAAAUACAAUAUAAUUGUUCCUUACCUUUAAUUAUU
rnacentral:snRNA from 1 species